rnacentral:lncRNA from 1 species
GAUAAAUGAGACCAAAUAAAUAAAACACAAAUUUGUUAAUAAACAAUAAAAUGGUCAAGGCAAUAAUAAAAUGCCCAGACGGUUUCAGAUUUUACAAACAUGAUAUUAGAAUGAGGAGCAAAAAAUGUUUCAACACACAAGCAAUGUCGCAGUCGCCUUUCAAUUAACCAAAACGUGCGCCAACUCCAUGACUAAAUCAACGGUAGGUAAUUGUGAUUUUAGAAGCUGUAGAACACCACAUUAAUUUAGAUGGGGACGACAGACUUUCAUGACAUAAAAUAUUAGAAUUGCAUAGCCAAGCAGGCAAUCCUGUAAACAAUGAUAUUUGGGUUUCGGAAAAAGGCAAAGUCAUUUGUGUAACAGAAACAAUUUGCUAGAACAAAGGAAUUUCUAACAGUCUUGAACAUGAGCAAAAUUCAGUCAGUUCCUUCUCAAAGGUGCCCUUAAACAUUUCAGACAAGUAAAUGAUAAAGAUCCUUACCAUAGGUCUAUUGGCAAGGCCAUAACUGGCCUUGUAUACAAACUAGUUGUCCACAAUGGUAGAACCAAUUUGAAUAUAGGAAAGGUUGAAAGAUGAGCCAAAUGAAUCAAGUGAUGAUUUCAGCUGGCAGUGGAAGCUCCUCCAAUGUGCAAGAAAUUUCAGUGAUUUGAAAUUGUAUUUUGAGCACAUCAAAUGGAAAUUGAGAUCUCAAUUUGUCAAUACGUAACAGAUUGAGACAAAGCUGUCUUUGUGUGAAGAUGGAAAGAC